GCAGCAGGCGCGCAAAUUACCCACUCCCGGCACGGGGAGGUAGUGACGAAAAAUAACGAUACGGGACUCAUCCGAGGCCCCGUAAUCGGAAUGAGAACACUUUAAACCCUUUAACGAGUAUCCAUUGGAGGGCAAGUCUGGUGCCAGCAGCCGCGGUAAUUCCAGCUCCAAUAGCGUAUAUUAAAGUUGUUGCGGUUAAAAAGCUCGUAGUUGGACUUGUGUCCCACGCUGUCGGUUCACCGUUCGUCGGUGUUUAACUGGCAUGCCCGUGCGGACGUCCUGCCGGUGGAUGCGGUCGGCCGUGGGCCUCUGGUCUGCGCGUCGGCGGUCCGAUACAAUCCUACCGCGGUGCUCUUCACCGAGUGUCGAGGUGGGCCGGCACGUUUACUUUGAACAAAUUAGAGUGCUCAAAGCAGGCAGUUGUUCGCCUGAAUAUUGUGUGCAUGGAAUAAUGGAAUAGGACCUCGGUUCUAUUUUGUUGGUUUUCGGAACUUGAGGUAAUGAUUAAUAGGGACAGACGGGGGCAUUCGUAUUGCGACGUUAGAGGUGAAAUUCUUGGAUCGUCGCAAGACGAACCUAAGCGAAAGCAUUUGCCAUGAGUGUUUUCAUUAAUCAAGAACGAAAGUUAGAGGUUCGAAGGCGAUCAGAUACCGCCCUAGUUCUAACCAUAAACGAUGCCAGCUAGCGAUCCGCCGAAGUUCCUCCGAUGACUCGGCGGGCAGCUUCCGGGAAACCAAAGCUUUUGGGUUCCGGGGGAAGUAUGGUUGCAAAGCUGAAACUUAAAGGAAUUGACGGAAGGGCACCACCAGGAGUGGAGCCUGCGGCUUAAUUUGACUCAACACGGGAAACCUCACCAGGCCCGGACACCGGAAGGAUUGACAGAUUGAGAGCUCUUUCUUGAUUCGGUGGGGUGGUGGUGCAUGGCCCUUCUU
rnacentral:rRNA from 1 species